rnacentral:rRNA from 1 species
UGGGGAAUCUUGCACAAUGGGCGAAAGCCUGAUGCAGUAACGCCGCGUGCGGGAAGAAGGCCCUCGGGUUGUAAACCGCUUUCAAAAGGAACGAAACUGACGGUACUUUCAGAAGAAGGUGCGGCCAACUACGUGCCAGCAGCCGCGGUGACACGUAGGCACCAAGCGUUGUCCGGAUUUAUUGGGCGUAAAGAGCUCGUAGGCGGUUCAGUAAGUCGGGUGUGAAAACUUUGGGCUUAACCCAAAGCGUGCAUCCGAUACUGCUGUGACUAGAGUCCAGUAGGGGAGCGUGGAAUUCCUGGUGUAGCGGUGAAAUGCGCAGAUAUCAGGAGGAACACCAGCGGCGAAGGCGGCGCUCUGGGCUGGAACUGACGCUGAGGAGCGAAAGCGUGGGGAGCGAACAGGAUUAGAUACCCCAGUAGUCCCUGAGCGGGCUGGCAAGGCGCAU